rnacentral:lncRNA from 1 species
GAGUUAUGGGACUUGAAAGAGGUUGUGUUCAAUGAUUUGUAAAACAGACUUCAGCAGAAAAUUACCUAACUUCCAAGCUAUGUAACUCCUUCAUUAAAAAUGGUAUGACCCUGGAACUAAUUGAAAAAGAAAUUUGGAUAAGUUAUGUUUAACCACAUUAAUUUUUAAAGUGGUUAGAUUUAAUUUGGAUUUUAUAUGAAAUUUUGAAUGUUGUACGCUGCUGCUGUCUUCUGGUUUUAAGGCACUACAAAGAAGUCACGGUUCUGCUUAUAUUCCCGAAGUUAGAGCCAGCAAAAAAUUAUGAUUUUUAGUUUAAUAGAAAGCUUAAUCCGAGAUGGUCGCAUGGAUACAAGGUUUGCGUCAUUCCGAAUUCGUUUGAUAUUUUAAAAAUAAAACUUAAAAUUAGACUGCUGAUGUUGUUUUGGUGAUUACUUGGAUAUAGAAUAUGAGAAAUAGAUUUUCUAUACUAUUAUCAAAUGCUUUUGAGAAUAUGUUGUCGUGGCAAUUGUUGAGAAAGGUUUGAUGAGAUGUUGAGAAAGAGGGAACCCGUAAGGGUGGUUAAGUCCGAGUUUUAGGGGAGGUGCUGUCAAAAUUUUAUAAAAAUCUGAGGUUUUAUUCGAAAAGUCAUUUUAAAAGAUUUGAACUUGAAAAAUUAUAUUAUUUGCGUUUUAUCUAAAUAAGAGAAGAAUUAUACUAUUUAGAAUUUGGAAUUAUCAAGGAAAGGUUUAUGUUUCAAGUUUGAAUUAUUUAAGAAAGGAAUUAUGUUUUGAAUUCAAUUUAAUAUGAAAAGAGUUAUGCUUUGGGCUUGAAAUAGAGGAAUACUUUUCAGGAGUUUGGUAUAUUUUAUAAUAUUUGAAUCCGAAUAAUAAAGAGAAAUGGUUUGAACUAAGAUGUUGUAAAAGUGAAAGAUGUGAAGUUUGUAUAGUAUGAUUGAAUUUGUAUAGUAUAAUUGAACAGAGAAAGAAAGAAGUACUGCCUAAGAAUGUGAAAGUGAUAAUGAAUGAUGAUAAUGAGAAUGAUUAUGUGAUGAUCUGCUGCGUAAAGGCAGUCAGAUAGAUGGUGGUACGACCACAAAACGUUUUCCAGUAUUACACAGCUAUUGAGAGCUGUACCUGCAACUGAUAACCUGGGAUCACUUGCAGAGGAUAUUAAUUCAUACACAGCUAGAAUGCCGCACCUGUAAGGCAAGGAUUGCUUACAGAGAAUAUGAUUUCAUACACGGCUGGAAUGCCGCCACCUGUAAGGCAGAAUUUGCUUAUAGAGGAUAUGACGCAUACGUCACUUAGUGAGAACUGUACCUAUGCUGACUGGAAAACCAUACCCGUUUCAGCUGCUUCGGGUUACGUCAGGAGCGGGUAGAAACCAACAAAUGAGCUCAUUACCUGCACUAGGGCUAGACAUGCAUCAUCCUUAUUUGCGCAUCUGCAUUUGAUUGUGUUUGCUUGUCUUAUUUCUUUGUAAUUGUGUUGCUUGUCUUGUUGUAAUUUGUUUGUAUGUUGAAUUAAAUCUCUUACUUGUAUUUUUAGUUUUUGAAUGUUUUAAAGAGAUUAAUAAUUGAUGUUGUGAUUGAGAAUUAAUUAAGUGACUGAAAAAUGAUUGAUAUAAUUAAUCUUGUCAUUGAGAUCUGUUUUGAGUUUAGGAAGAGGUGAUCAAUUAGUUAAAGUAAAGCUAAGAGUAUAUCCAAAAGGUUUGAUGAAAUAUAUUUUCCUUGAGUAUGUUAAUUAUUUGCAUUUUAUUUCAUUACUUUUACGGCAUUCCCAUUCCCUACUGAGAACAUGUGGUUUGUUCUCACCCCAAAAAUCCUCCACCUUUUCAGUGACAGGUUCGAAGACAUAGUGUGAAGCUGUGGGCGAUUAUAGAAUUUAUUUAUGAGUUAAGUGUGAGUUAAUUUGCUUUCAUAGAGUUCCCUCGCCCUUAUUGCUUACGAUUUUUAUUUUAUAUAGAGGGAUAGGAUUUGUAUCUGAGUUUUAUUUGAAAUCGUUUGUAUGACAGAUAUUAUUAUUAAUAAUUAUGUGAUUAUUACUACUUGGAAAUGUUUGAUAUAUGAUUUUGAUAAUCAAAAACAAAAAUUUUCUGGAAUUUUCCAUAAAAUAGAAGCGCGAUAUCGAACUAAAUGCUCAAUAUUAAAUAGUUAAUAAAAGAAAUAGGUUAGUAACUCCUUACUUUUGUUACGAUCAUGACGUACUGGAAGUUGGGUCGUUACAAAUGGUAUCAGAGCAGUUCGUUCCUGUUAGAGCCUUGGGAAUGGACUGACUAUGCUUCAUUGCAUACUCUGAGUGUCUGUCAUGCUUUGUGACUUGUUCUGGUAACAAGAGUUUGAGUUUUAUAUGCAUGACUGUCUGAUGAUUAACGCUGCUAGUUUACCAUUGCAUACCUCAUGUAUUAGGUCUGGCCAACUUAAUACUAAUGAUUUAUGUACAUGGCAACACUAACAGGUUAUCUUAGACGAAAUAUAAGUAAUAGGUAAUGCGAUUCAUGGGGUUUGGGAGUGUUAGAGGUUCUGAAGUUAGCUUCGAUUCGACGUAUAAUCUUUAUUCGUGCCAUGUUUUUCUUAGUUUCUUUCAUUGGAAUUCGCUGGUUUGAAAUUUCUCCUUAGAAUGUGGUUUAAUUGUUUCCUAACCAUACCUUGUCAUUCUUGUAUACCUUUACUUGCCUAUGAAUCUGAUUGCUUACGUAACUCUUUGAAUAUUCAUCAUUGAUAAUGCCUAUACUUUUGUCCAUAUAUUCUGCUUUCCUUGAUUUCAGUUUGAACUUAUUUUAUUCUAGCAAUUUUCGAGGACGAAAAUUUUUCUAAGGUGGGUAGAAUGUAACAACCCUAGUUUUUGAAAAUCAAAUAAUUAGUUAUUUGUGAUUUAUUUUGUUUGUUGAUAAUUUUAUUUUAAGAAAAUUAUUUUACUAUAGGUAAUUAAAUAGAGUUUUAUGAUAAUUGGAAUUUAAACUAAUUAGGAGUUUUAUAUAAUCUUAAUUGGAUAUUUGAUAUAAUUGAAAUUAUAAUUUUAGUAAUUGAAAAAUAAAUAAGAAUUGUAUAAUUUAAUUUAAAUAAAUUCUAUUAUAAAUAAAUUAUGAUUUAAUUUGAGUUCUUUAUUUUUAGAAAAUAAUCUAUCGAGCAUGAUUAAAUAGAUUUUAUGAAUAGUGUAAGUCUAAGUCAAUUAAUAUUUUUGUACAAUUUUUACUAUCAGUUAUUUUAUAAAUUGAAAUUAGAGUUUUGAUAAUAGAAAAAUUAAUGAAAAGUUAUAUCAUUUAAUUUGAAUAAUUAAUAUUAAGUUUAAACUAUAUUUUAUAAAAAUGUGAUUAGUAUAUUUAUUUUAUAUUUUAAAUUAAAAAUAAUUAAUUGAAUUUAGCAAUAUGUUGAUAAACAAUGUUCUUAAAUAUUUUUAAUGGAGUACAUUUGAUUUUAAAAUUAUUCUACCCUUCAAUUUUAUCAAAAUAUCUAUUCAUAUCUAUCCCUAUUACUUUAUAAAAUCCCUAAUUUCUAACCCUAAUUCCCAAAAUUAACUCAAAAACCCUAUUUCCUAAAUUCACAAACAAACCCUAACCCUGCCGCACUCUCCUCAGCGCCGUCACCCUCAUCACAAGCGUACAGACUCACCCGCUCUCCCUUAGCCUCACCGCGGCACACACACACUCCUUCUGUCACACACCCACACCUUGUGAAUGGAGCUGCACCACGUCUAGCCCGCCUCGCCAUCGCCGCUGACGUUGUUGCCAACGAAGAGGACGCCGUCGUCGUUGUUCAAGGAGGAAGGAAGAACCGCGCGAGAGCCAAGGGAGGAGGAAACCUUUGCUGUGUCGCCGCCAUGCCUCCAUUGCCACCGAAUGCCGUCAAGCGCAGAGAGAGAGCCAGACACCGCGAGGAAGAAGCUGCUCGUCGCCAUCACAAUCACUGUCGUUGGGCCUGUAAAUCGCCACUGUGAUCUAUGCGAGAGGAAGAAGACGCAAUCAACGAAGGCAAGAAGGUUCUACCGCUGCCAUGUCACUGCUGCCACUGAAGGUCUAUCACCGCCAAUCCACGCCGCUGCUGAAGAUGGUAAGCCAAACCGUCGUUCUUGUUGCUGGAAAAGACCACCGGAGUUGCUGUUCUGGCUCUAGUCUAUUACUUUAUUUGAUUCUGUUCCAUUUACACACUUCCUUUGUCACUGCCAUCCUUGUUAACGAUUUGAUUUUUAGUACAUUCCUUGUCCUGAAUUUUCCAGAGUUGUGUUUGCUCUUGCUUCCUAUUCGAUUCAAAUCCUUUGUCCUGUUGCAACCAUCGUCGCUGCCUUAGAAAAGUGAGACUGCUGUUAUUUCGGUUAUUGCUCCUACUGCUGCUGCUGAGAAGUGAUCAGAAAAGCCACUGCUGUUAGUUCGGUUCAAGGUUGCUGCCACUGUGAAUUAAAAAUAAAAAAAGGCUUUGUUGCGUUUGAAUAUCAAAUUUCGGCUAAUCGAGGUAGGGGAUUUAUUUUUAAAGUUAAACGUUUUUAAGUUAGAAUGCCUACAGAGUUAUUUUGAUAAUUGCAAAUGGUUAACAAUGGUUAAGAAUUUCUUAAUUGACAUGAAUGACUUGAAAUGCAUUUGAAAUUAGUUAGUUGUUGUGAUUAUUUUGAGCUGUGAUUAAACUUAGAUGCUGUUGUGAACAAUGAUUUAGUAUAAUUUAUUAAAUUGAAAUAUGCCAAGUUAAUUAUUGAAAAGCUGUCGUAUGAAUAUUCGAUGAAUUGAGUUUGGAUGGUUGCUGUGAAUGUAAUUGGUUUUGUUGUUAUGAGAAACUAAUUGAUAGAAAUAAGCUUGGUUUGAGGUUGAGAAAUUUGGAUUAAGUUUGAUGAUGUCUUAGUGUUUCAAUUGGAGUAUUGAAUUCAGGUUAUGGUUGUGAAUGUUUUUGGGCUUUAUUGUGAGUGUUUGAAGCUGUAAUUGAUAUUAGUUUUUCUGAUUUUGAUGGAUUGUUGAAAAGUUCUGACUCUAUACUAAAUUAGUUGAGUUGUGUGGCUGAAAUUAUGAUUGGAAUGAUUGAGAUUUUUGAUUGGAACUUUGGUUGGAAUUCGUUGAUUUUGUGAAAUUGAAUUAUAAAUUGUUUGAUGAGAGAUUAUUAUGAUUUCUGUAUUUUGAUGGAUCAAAUUGAAAUCGUUGCUGUUGAAUUGGUUUACUGUAAUAGACUUAGUUAGGGAUUAAUUGAAAUUGGGCUUAAGGAAUAAUUGGAAGACUGAAUCUUGAAAUGUUGCACUAAUUGCUAAAAAUCUGAUUUUUAAAAUUAAAAGAUAACUUUGGAAGUAAAUCAGUUAUUCAACGAUAAUCGAAAUGAUAUGAGAGUAAAGGCUGAGUAAACUAUAAUAAAAGUUGUUGUUGGGAUUCAAUUUUGAGAAGUUUGAAUUAACUAUAGAACUAGUUAUUAUUUUUCAAAAUGUAAAACUUAAUUUUCUGCAUUACUUUUAAAUGAAGCCGGAGACUUUGAAAAUCUAUAAUUAAUUCUGUGAUGAUCGGAAUUGCGUGGGACCAAGUUUGGAUUAAGCUUGGGAAUACAGAUAACUGGACUGGUGAAUUUGAGACUUUUUCAUUAAGUUUAUGAUUUAUGGUGAAUUUUUGAAUUAUGAAUGUCAAAUCUGGAUUUCUGCAGAACGCUUAACACAGCAGCAACUUGUUUCCUCUAUUAGAAAUUCACCAGUUUGAAUUUUAAAUGGAACCAAUUUUAAAUGAAACUCUGGUCCUAGUACAUUAAUUUCAUAAAAAUUUAGAAUUGUUAGAGUUGUAGUUUUAAAGAUAUGGAUUUUUAAAGUAAGAUGUAUUGUGCAGUAAAAAUCAGGUUUUGUUUUCUAAGUCGGUAACUUUGAGACUUUAUAAUUUUUAAUUCUGGAAUGAUAUUGAGAUGAAACUAAUUGGAGGUGAAAUUUGAGUAUGUUUAGUAUAUAUGAUUUAAAAUUCAGGGUUUUCCAUGUUUUAAUAAGUGAGUUAUGGGACUUGAAAGAGGUUGUGUUCAAUGAUUUGUAAAACAGACUUCAGCAGAAAAUUACCUAACUUCCAAGCUACGUAACUCCUUCAUUAAAAAUGGUAUGACCCUGGAACCAAUUGAGAAAGAAAUUUGGAUAAGUUAUGUUUAACCACAUUAAUUUUGAAGGUGGUUGGAUUUAAUUUGGAUUUUAUAUGAAAUUUCGCAUGUUGUACGCUGCUGCUGUCUUCUGGUUU